AUGCAUGUCUAGUAUAAGCUUUAAACGGCGAAACUGCGAAUGGCUCAUUAAAACAGUUAUAGUUUAUUUGGUGAUCGAUUACUAUUUGGAUAACCGUAGUAAUUCUAGAGCUAAUACAUGCGUCAAGGCCCGACUUCGGAAGGGCUGCGUUUAUUAGAUACAGAACCAACCUAGGCUCCGCCUAGUCCUUGUUGGUGAUUCAUAAUAACCCGGCGAAUCGCACGGCUUGUCCGGCGAUGGACCAUUCAAGUUUCUGACCUAUCAGCUAUGGACGGUAGGGUAUUGGCCUACCGUGGCGUUGACGGGUAACGGGGAAUUAGGGUUCGAUUCCGGAGAGGGAGCCUGAGAAACGGCUACCACAUCUAAGGAAGGCAGCAGGCGCGCAAAUUACCCAAUCCUGAUACAGGGAGGUAGUGACAAGAAAUAACAAUACAGGGCAAUUCUGUCUUGUAAUUGGAAUGAGUAGAUUUUAAAUCUCUUUACGAGUAUCAAUUGGAGGGCAAGUCUGGUGCCAGCAGCCGCGGUAAUUCCAGCUCCAAUAGCGUAUAUUAAAGUUGUUGCGGUUAAAAAGCUCGUAGUUGGAUUUCUGCCUUGGGCGACCGAUCCACCUUUCCUACGGGAUUGGUUGGUAUCAGGUUUGACCUUGGCUUUUUCUUGGGAUUCGUGCUCACGUACUUAACUGUGCGUUGACCGUGUUCCAAGACUUUUACUUUGAGGAAAUUAGAGUGUUUCAAGCAGGCUUAUGCCAUGAAUACAUUAGCAUGGAAUAAUAGGAUAUGACUUCGGUCAUAUUUUGUUGGUUUCUAGGACUGAAGUAAUGAUUAAUAGGGACAGUCGGGGGCAUUCGUAUUUAACUGUCAGAGGUGAAAUUCUUGGAUUUGUUAAAGACGAACUACUGCGAAAGCAUUUGCCAAGGAUGUUUUCAUUGAUCAAGAACGAAGUUAGGGAUCGAAGACGAUCAGAUACCGUCCUAGUCUUAACCAUAACUAUGCGACUAGGGAUUGGGGGUCGUAAUUUAGACGCCUCAGCACUCGUGA
rnacentral:ncRNA from 1 species